GCAAGCGGUAGUGUGGUGGAGCACCUUAGUUGCCAUCCUCCGAAGUUUGGUAGAAUUAUGCAAUAAAUUGCAAGAACUUCUUUGACUCAAUUUUUCCCGAAGUAACGUGGAAGAAACGUAAAUCGCCGAAAGAUAUGGAGACAAACGUUGCGGCCCCCGAGAUUUGUUGGCCCC